rnacentral:rRNA from 1 species
UACGUAGGGGGCUAGCGUUGUCCGGAAUCAUUGGGCGUAAAGAGCGUGUAGGCGGUCCGGUAAGUCCGCUGUGAAAGUCGGGGGCUCAACCCUCGAAUGCCGGUGGAUACUGUCGGGCUAGAGUACGGAAGAGGCGAGUGGAAUUCCUGGUGUAGCGGUGAAAUGCGCAGAUAUCAGGAGGAGCACCUAUUGCGAAGGCAGCUCGCUGGGACGUAACUGACGCUGAGACGCGAAAGCGUGGGGAGCAAACAGG